CGGACGGGUGAGUAAUGUCUGGGAAACUGCCUGAUGGAGGGGGAUAACUACUGGAAACGGUAGCUAAUACCGCAUAACGUCGCAAGACCAAAGAGGGGGACCUUGGGCCUCUUGCUAUCGGAUGUGCCCAGAUGGGAUUAGCUAGUAGGUGGGGUAACGGCUCACCUAGGCGACGAUCCCUAGCUGGUCUGAGAGGAUGACCAGCCACACUGGAACUGAGACACGGUCCAG
rnacentral:rRNA from 1 species